AGUUUCAUAAAUAGAUUUUCCUAACGUCAUGCCAGAUCAUUGUAAUUGGUUCCCGUCGCUUCUGUUGAAUUCCUGAUAGGCUAGGAAGUUUGUUCCUCGAGGUAAUAUUGUGGUGACCCUAUCCUACCUGUUUGCUUGUCCUAACCUUAGCAGCACCUACAUUAUUACCUCGACAUUCCCCUCCCACGGAUUCUGCCCUCGUUGGCAGCAUUGAAGGAACGUAGCCAUGAUAUAGCAGCUACCUGUCCAUCGUCCAGAGAGAGAGUCAGCCAGCCCGUUAUAAUACACACCAGUUCCCAUUGAUCACCCAGCUACCCAACUGAUUUAGGGUAACGGACUUUACCAUGAGAUUGAACACUUAUUUUAUGUACGAUUGGAUUGGUCUUGCAUUAUUUUACAAUCCUUUACUUA